UACGGGGGGGGGCAAGCGUUGUUCGGAAUUACUGGGCGUAAAGGGCGCGUAGGCGGCCUGCUAAGUCGGACGUGAAAUCCCUCGGCUCAACCGAGGAACUGCGUCCGAUACUGGUGGGCUUGAAUCCGGGAGAGGGAUGUGGAAUUCCAGGUGUAGCGGUGAAAUUCGUAGAUAUCGGGAGGAACACCAGUGGCGAAGGCGGCGAUCUGGGCAGAUACUGACGCUGAGGUGCGAAAGCGUGGGGAGCAAACAGG
rnacentral:rRNA from 1 species